rnacentral:rRNA from 1 species
UACGGGGGGGGGCAAGCGUUGUUCGGAAUUACUGGGCGUAAAGGGCUCGUAGGCGGCCAACUAAGUCAGACGUGAAAUCCCUCGGCUUAACCGGGGAACUGCAUCUGAUACUGGAUGGCUUGAGUUCGGUAGGGGAGUCUGGAAUUCCUGGUGUAGCGGUGAAAUGCGCAGAUAUCAGGAGGAACACCGGUGGCGAAGGCGGUUCUCUGGGCAUGACCUGACGCUGAGGAGCGAAAGUGUGGGGAGCGAACAGG